rnacentral:rRNA from 1 species
AACGAACGCUGGCGGCAGGCCUAAUACAUGCAAGUCGAACGCCCGUAGCAAUACGGGAGUGGCAGACGGGUGAGUAACGCGUGGGAAUCUACCCAGUGGUACGGAACAACCAAGGGAAACUUUGGCUAAUACCGUAUAAGCCCUUAGGGGGAAAGAUUUAUCGCCAUUGGAUGAGCCCGCGUCGGGAUUAGCUAGUUGGUAGGGUAACGGCCUACCAAGGCGACGAUCCGUAGCUGGUCUGAGAGGAUGANCAGCCACACUGGGACUGAGACACGGCCCAGACUCCUACGGGAGGCAGCAGUAGGGAAUAUUGGACAAUGGGCGAAAGCCUGAUCCAGCCAUGCCGCGUGAGUGAUGAAGGCCCUAGGGUUGUAAAGCUCUUUCGGCGGGGAAGAUAAUGACGGUACCCGCAGAAGAAGCCCCGGCUAACUU